UACGGAGGGGGCUAGCGUUGUUCGGAAUUACUGGGCGUAAAGGGCGCGUAGGCGGUUUAUCAAGUGAGAUGUGAAAUCCCCGGGCUUAACCUGGGAACUGCAUCUUAAACUGGUAAGCUGGAGUACUGUAGAGGACAGUGGAAUUUCCGGUGUAGCGGUGAAAUGCGUAGAGAUCGGAAGGAACAUCAGUGGCGAAGGCGACUGUCUGGACAGAUACUGACGCUGAGGCGCGAAAGCGUGGGGAGCAAACAGG
rnacentral:rRNA from 1 species